rnacentral:rRNA from 1 species
AUUGAACGCUGGCGGCAUGCUUUACACAUGCAAGUCGAACGGCAGCGCGGGCUUCGGCCUGGCGGCGAGUGGCGAACGGGUGAGUAAUGCAUCGGAACGUGCCCAGUAGUGGGGGAUAGCCCGGCGAAAGCCGGAUUAAUACCGCAUACGAACUGAGGGUGAAAGCGGGGGACCGAAAGGCCUCGCGCUAUUGGAGCGGCCGAUGUCGGAUUAGCUAGUUGGUGGGGUAAAGGCUUACCAAGGCGACGAUCCGUAGCUGGUCUGAGAGGACGACCAGCCACACUGGGACUGAGACACGGCCCAGACUCCUACGGGAGGCAGCAGUGGGGAAUUUUGGACAAUGGGGGCAACCCUGAUCCAGCCAUGCCGCGUGCGGGAAGAAGGCCUUCGGGUUGUAAACCGCUUUUGUUCGGGAAGAAAUCCUCUGGGCUAAUACCCCGGGGGGAUGACGGUACCGGAAGAAUAAGCACCGGCUAACUACGUG